rnacentral:rRNA from 1 species
GAUGAACGCUGGCGGUAUGCUUAACACAUGCAAGUCGAACGGACACUUUCGGGUGUUAGUGGCGGACGGGUGAGUAACGCGUGAGAAUCUGCCUUUAGGUUCGGGACAACCAUUGGAAACGAUGGCUAAUACCGGAUAUGCAGCGAUGUGAAAGAUAUAUUGCCUAAAGAUGAGCUCGCGUCUGAUUAGCUAGUUGGUGGGGUAAAGGCCUACCAAGGCGACGAUCAGUAACUGGUCUGAGAGGAUGAUCAGUCACACUGGAACUGAGACACGGUCCAGACUCCUACGGGAGGCAGCAGUGGGGAAUUUUCCGCAAUGGGCGAAAGCCUGACGGAGCAAUACCGCGUGCGGGACGAAGGCUUUUGGGUCGUAAACCGCUUUUGUUAGGGAAGAAGAACUGACGGUACCUAACGAAUCAGCAUCGGCUAACUCCGUGCCAGCAGCCGCGGUAAUACGGAGGAUGCAAGCGUUAUCCGGAAUUAUUGGGCGUAAAGCGUCCGCAGGUGGUUUGUCAAGUCUGCUGUUAAAUCGUGGGGCUUAACCCUAUAUAGGCAGUGGAAACUGAUAGACUAGAGUACGGUAGGGGUAGCGGGAAUUCCCAGUGUAGCGGUGAAAUGCGUAGAUAUUGGGAAGAACACCAGCGGCGAAGGCGCGCUACUGGGCCGAAACUGACACUCAUGGACGAAAGCUAGGGGAGCGAAAGGGAUUAGAUACCCCUGUAGUCCUAGCUGUAAACGAUGACAACUAGGUGUUG